GUCCACGCCGUAAACGAUGUUCACUCGCUGUUUGCGAUAUAUUGCAAGCGGCCAAGCGAAAGCAUUAAGUUAACCACCUGGGGAGUACGAUCGCAAGGUUGAAACUCAAAGGAAUUGACGGGGGCCCGCACAAGCGGAGGAACAUGUGGUUUAAUUCGAUGAUACGCGAGGAACCUUACCCGGGCUUAAAUGUAGGAUGCAUGUAGUGGAAACACUCUUCCCUUCGGGGCUGCCUACAAGGUGCUGCAUGGUUGUCGU
rnacentral:rRNA from 1 species